UACGUAGGCAGCAAGCGUUGUUCGGAGUUACUGGGCGUAAAGCGUGCGCAGGCGGCUUUGCAAGACAGAUGUGAAAUCCCCGGGCUCAACCUGGGAACUGCAUUUGUGACUGCAAGGCUAGAGUACGGUAGAGGGGGAUGGAAUUCCGCGUGUAGCAGUGAAAUGCGUAGAUAUGCGGAGGAACACCGAUGGCGAAGGCAAUCCCCUGGACCUGUACUGACGCUCAUGCACGAAAGCGUGGGGAGCAAACAGG
rnacentral:rRNA from 1 species